rnacentral:rRNA from 3 species
GACGAACGCUGGCGGCGUGCCUAAUACAUGCAAGUCGAGCGGAGUUGAAGAGGUGCUUGCACCUCUGAUGCUUAGCGGCGGACGGGUGAGUAACACGUGGGUAACCUGCCUUUAAGACUGGGAUAACAUUCGGAAACGAAUGCUAAUACCGGAUACACGAUACGGUCGCAUGACUGAAUCGGGAAAGAUGGAGCAAUCUAUCACUUAGAGAUGGACCCGCGGCGCAUUAGCUAGUUGGUG